rnacentral:rRNA from 1 species
CGAACGCUGGCGGCGCACUUAACACAUGCAAGUCGAACGUGAAGCCCGGGCUUGCCCGGGUGGAAAGUGGCGAACGGGUGCGUAACACGUGAGCAACCCGCCCCGAAGACCGGGAUAACACCGGGAAACCGGUGCUAAUACCGGAUGCCUUCACCACGUCGCAUGGCGAGGUGAGGAAAUGGAUUCCGCUUCGGGAUGGGCUCGCGGCCUAUCAGCUUGUUGGUGGGGUAACGGCCUACCAAGGCUACGACGGGUAGCUGGUCUGAGAGGAUGUCCAGCCACACUGGGACUGAGACACGGCCCAGACUUCUACGGGAGGCAGCAGUGGGGAAUCUUGCGCAAUGGGCGAAAGCCUGACGCAGCGACGCCGCGUGCGGGAUGAAGGCCUUCGGGUUGUAAACCGCUUUCAGCAGGGACGAUUGUGACGGUACCUGCAGAAGAAGCCCCGGCCAACUACGU